rnacentral:tRNA from 1 species
GCCUGGCUGGCUCGGUGGGUAGAGCGAGUGACUCUUAAUCUCGGGGUUGUGAGUUCAAGCCCCACAUUGGGUG